rnacentral:sRNA from 2 species
AAGACCAACGAGCCGAGUCGUCCUCUCCCAACAAGGAGGACGAGCGGGGGAACCAGGUAUCCGGGGCGAGUCCACGAGAAGUGGAGGCGCAAGCUCCUUUAGCGCCAGCCCGACAGCUAACCCCGUAGGCCGACGAAGGAGAUCGA